CCUCAUAGCUCCAGGCUAGCUCCCGUAAUUAGUACUGCUCGGUUCUUCCCGGUUUAGCAAUGGCGACCUUCUACACCCGCUGUCAAUAGGAGCUCCCAAAGAUAAACAUCACUCGCCUUCAUAGGAUUUUCACAACGACUAAACACUCAACCGGCAAAUUGGAGAAAGGCUAUUCAUUACAUGCCAUGUGUAUUUUUGCAACUACCAAGCAAUCCGCCAGGCCGUCUCCAGAUCUCUUGUGGCACGCUACCAGAAAUAUGUGGAUGAAGCCUCUAGGAAGUAGAUCUGACAUCCUGAUCCGGUACCGCGGGACCUUGUUGGUGGCCGACUCCCGCCGCUCCUGGUCCGACGAGUUUGCUGGACCCGGAGCUCGCCCUCGCUACCAAAAGUCUUACUGUUAAAAAUGUUGUCUUUGCUUUUAUAUACAAUAAAAAUGAAAAUGACCUAAAUCA